rnacentral:miRNA from 1 species
GAUCUCUUGAACUACAGAGGUCCAAGAGAUUUGUAGUCACUCACCAUUGGAUAUAAAUUCAACGGUUCACUCACUCUUGCACUCCUUUUAAGAAACUUUUUUGAACUGUUGAAUGUUACAUCCAACGGUGAGUGACCACAAUAUCUUGAACUCCUGUGGUCCAAGAGAUC